GACGAACGCUGGCGGCGUGCUUAACACAUGCAAGUCGAACGGAAAGGCCCUGCUUUUGUGGGGUGCUCGAGUGGCGAACGGGUGAGUAACACGUGAGUAACCUGCCCUUGACUUUGGGAUAACUUCAGGAAACUGGGGCUAAUACCGGAUAGGAGCUCCUGCUCCAUGGUGGGGGUUGGAAAGUUUCGGCGGUUGGGGAUGGACUCGCGGCUUAUCAGCUUGUUGGUGGGGUAGUGGCUUACCAAGGCUUUGACGGGUAGCCGGCCUGAGAGGGUGACCGGCGACCUGGGGACUGAGGUACGGACCAGACUCCUACGGGAGGCAGCGGUGGGGAAUAUUGCGCAAUGGGCGGAAGCCUGAUGCGGCAACGCCGCGUGCGGGAUAACGGCCUUCGGGUUGUAAACCGCUUUCGCCUGUGACGAAGCGUGAGUGACGGUAAUGAGUAAAGAAGCACCGGCUAACUACGUG
rnacentral:rRNA from 1 species